rnacentral:lncRNA from 1 species
CUCAGAAAUGUGGAAGUUGAGGGAGAGGAGACGGAUGAGAAGAGUUAAGGGGAGAAGGUCCAUGGGGUGAAGAACAGCUGAGUAUGCCUGGGAGGCCAGCUGCUGUCAGAGCAAGGAAUCUGGGUUGUAGUUUGUGAGCUGAAGGAGGUCAGCCACGCUCCUGGGGCGGGACAGAUGAAUUACAUGGAUCAGCGCAACAGAGGGUGAUAGGAUGACCGAGUGCAUUCCAGAAGGCCUUCCAUAGCCAGUCUGGAUUGAUACCGGCUGUGUCUCUGAGAAAAGGAACUUGGGGCUGGAUUUUCUCUUCUGUGUGCUUGUCCCGUCUCUCGUGUUACUGCUCUGGGGGAGUGACUCUGGAGGACCUCUCUCUCAGCGGUCUGGUGCUUCAUCUGUUAGCUCAUCAGGACGGGCAGGCCCAUAGUGCUAGCCAGGGGAACCUUUCUGUACCUUUCUUGAGCAAAGUGUCCAACACUUUUUCAAUUCAUUUUUUCUUUUAAACAGGUGUUUACUAAAGUAAGCAAUGAUCUGCAGCUGUCUGGAGCCUGAGUGGCAGAUUCAUCCAGCUUAUUGGGCACAGGGGUGGGUUACACCCCAAAGGCUGCUGCUGCGGGACGCCUGGACAACAUGUGGACCUCCUCCACACCUGAGAGCCGAAGGGAGCUCAGUAAAUGAUCCAGCGGGUCAAGGCGGAGCCUGCAGCACGUCCUGCCCUUCUGCCUCAGCAGUGCUCGCUGAGUCCUGUCACUUCCCCUCCAGGUCCCUGCUGGGCCUGCACGUCUGCUUCUCUCUGGAUCCACUGAGGCCACCACCACUUCUGGCCUUGUCUGUGACAGCAGCCGCCUCACUGCCUGGCUUUUGGAUCACCAGACUGGAGUUUGAGUCUGCAUUCUGCUGCAGGUUAGCUGAGCGACCUUGGAUAGGGCUCUUCAGCUCGCUGAGCCUCAGCUGCUUCAUCUGUAAAAUGGGGUAA